AGCCUGACACAUGCAAGUCGAACGCAGUAGCAAUACUGAGUGGCAAACGGGUGAGUAUAAUGUGGGAAUCUGCCUUUUGGUUCGGAAUAACACGAGGAAACUUGUGCUAAUACCGGAUAAGCCCUUACGGGGAAAGUUUUAAUGCCAAAAGAUGAGCCCGCACUUGAUUAGCUAGUUGGUAAGGUAAUGGCUUACCAAGGCAACGAUCAAUAGCUGUUCUUAGAGGAAGACCAGCCACAUUGGGACUGAGACACGGCCCAAACUCCUACGGGAGGCAGCAGUGGGGAAUCUUGCACAAUGGGGGAAACCCUGAUGCAGCGAUGCCGCGUGAGUGAAGAAGGCCCUUGGGUUGUAAAACUCUUUCGUCGGGGAAGAAAAUGACUGUACCCGAAUAAGAAGGUCCGGCUAACUUCGUGCCAGCAGCCGCGGUAAUACGAAGGGACCUAGCGUAGUUCGGAAUUACUGGGCUUAAAGAGUUCGUAGGUGGUUAAAAAAGUUGAUGGUGAAAUCCCAAGGCUCAACCUUGGAACUGCCAUCAAAACUUUUUAGCUAGAGUGUGAUAGAGGAAAGUGGAAUUUCUAGUGUAGAGGUGAAAUUCGUAGAUAUUAGAAAGAACAUCAAAAGCGAAGGCAACUUUCUGGAUCAUUACUGACACUGAGGAACGAAAGCAUGGGUAGCGAAGAGGAUUAGAUACCCUCGUAGUCCAUGCCGUAAACGAUGUGUGCUAGACGUUGGAAACUUAGUUUUCAGUGUCGCAGCGAAAGCAUUAAGCACACCGCCUGGGGAGUACGACCGCAAGGUUA
rnacentral:rRNA from 1 species